UGGGGAAUAUUGGACAAUGGGGGCAACCCUGAUCCAGCAAUGCCGCGUGUGUGAAGAAGGUCUUCGGAUUGUAAAGCACUUUCGACGGGGACGAUGAUGACGGUACCCGUAGAAGAAGCCCCGGCUAACUUCGUGCCAGCAGCCGCGGUAAUACGAAGGGGGCUAGCGUUGCUCGGAAUGACUGGGCGUAAAGGGCGUGUAGGCGGUUUACACAGUCAGAUGUGAAAUCCCCGGGCUUAACCUGGGAGCUGCAUUUGAUACGUGUAGACUAGAGUGUGAGAGAGGGUUGUGGAAUUCCCAGUGUAGAGGUGAAAUUCGUAGAUAUUGGGAAGAACACCGGUGGCGAAGGCGGCAACCUGGCUCAUGACUGACGCUGAGGCGCGAAAGCGUGGGGAGCAAACAGGAUUAGAUACCCUGGUAGUCCACGCCUGUAAACGAUGUGUGCUAGAUGUUGGGUACUUUGUUAUU
rnacentral:rRNA from 1 species